rnacentral:tRNA from 1 species
GUUGGUAGAGCGCUCCACUUGUAAUGGAGAGGUCCUGGGCUCGAUACCCGGACCAGGCG